rnacentral:rRNA from 1 species
AGCGAACGCUGGCGGCAGGCCUAACACAUGCAAGUCGAACGAAGUCUUCGGACUUAGUGGCGGACGGGUGAGUAACACGUGGGAACGUGCCUUUAGGUUCGGAAUAACUCAGGGAAACUUGUGCUAAUACCGAAUGUGCCCUUCGGGGGAAAGAUUUAUCGCCUUUAGAGCGGCCCGCGUCUGAUUAGCUAGUUGGUGAGGUAAAGGCGCACCAAGGCGACGAUCAGUAGCUGGUCUGAGAGGAUGAUCAGCCACAUUGGGACUGAGACACGGCCCAAACUCAUACGUGAGGCAGCAGUGGGGAAUCUUGCGCCAUGGGCGAAAGCCUGACGCAGCCAUGCCGCGUAAAUGAUGAAGGUCUUAAGAUUGUAAAAUUCUUUCCCCGUGGAUGUUAAUGACGGUACCCGGAGAAGAAGCCCCGGCUAACUACGUGCCAGCAGCCGCCGUAACAC